rnacentral:rRNA from 1 species
GACGAACCGAGCGAACGUUAUUCGGAAUCACUGGGCUUAAAGGGCGCGUAGGCGGGCGGCCAAGUCAGGGGUGAAAGCCCCCAGCUCAACUGGGGAAGUGCCUCUGAUACUGGUCAUCUUGAGGGAGGUAGGGGCGUGCGGAACUUCCGGUGGAGCGGUGAAAUGCGUUGAUAUCAUCAGGAACACCGGUGGCGAAAGCGGCUUACUGGGUCUCUUCUGACGCUGAGGAACGAAAGCUAGGGUAGCGAACGGG